AUCGAACUAUGCCUACGCCAAGCUGUGGAUGACUUGGCUGGGGAACCGAUGAAGGUCGUGGUAAGCCGCGAAAGUCCUCGGGGAGACGCAAACAGUCUACGAUCCGAGGGUCACCGAAUGGGUAUCCUGACACAGUCUAAUAAGUUGUGUCAACCAGUAAUGGUGGGGAACGUGGGGAACCGAAACAUCCAAGUACCCACAGGAAAAGAAAACAAUUGUGAUUCCGUUAGUAACGGCGAGUGAAAGCGGAACAGGUCAAACCGAAUUCCCUUUUCGAAAGAUUAGGGUAUAUGUGGUGUUUUUGACUGCGUUCUGGACCGUCAGCGUUAAGUCGAAGACAAUGUGGAACAUUGCGCUAUAGAGGGUAAAAGCCCCGUAGACGUAAGCGCUCGGCCUUGCAGUAUCAAGACUAGCGUGGCUUGGAUUUGUCGCGCAAAUAUGGGAAAACUAUGUCCCAAACCUAAAUAUUCCCCCAGACCGAUAGCGCACUAGUAGCGUGAGCAAAAGUUGAAAAGUAUCCAAAAUAUGGGAGUGAAAAGACCCUGAAACAGCUUGGUAACAGACGUGGAUGGCUCGAAAGCGUAGAUUCUCAGCGAAGGAACUCACCGUGAGGUGUUAGUACGAGUUGAGAGGAGCGGGGUCAUCCGUUCCGUCUAGAAACACGGGCCGAGGAGUUCAGAUUCGUGGCGAGCCUAAACGUAUGUGGUGGCGUAGCGAAAGCGACCUGCACGCAGCACUUAUGUGCCAGGUGCGACGUACGAUAAGUGCGUGAAGUCACGGGUCUGAGACACGAAAGGAGUCGAUCUACCCCUGGUUAAGGUGAAGCGCUUCGAAAGGAGCGUGGAGGCCUGAAGGGUUUCUAAUAUGCAAUUUGUUCCUCUGAACUGGGGGUAGUGGCAAAAGACCAAUCUAGACUCCUGAUAGCUUGUUCCCGCCGAAGUAUAACCACAGUAUAGCGUCACCGGAGGUUGCAUGUGAGGUAGAGCUACGGACGGGUUGUCCCGGGGAGUGAAAUCCUCGCCAAUCCUUCCAACUCCGAACUUGCAUGCGCCGUAGAUGGUGGCAGACGGGCGUGUAUCCGCAAGGGAUAUGGCCGCGAGGGGUUCAACCCAGAGGUUGGUUAAGGGCCCUAAAUCCUGGUUAAAUGUUAAACUGAAUGACGUCCAACGGCUUAGACAAUGAGGCGGUAAGCUUAGAAGCAGCUAUCCGUUAAAAAAAGCGUAACAGCUUACUCAUCGAGUUGUUGGGCUCAGAAAAUGGACGGGGCUAAACCAGGUCCCGAUACCAACCCGAACUUCAAAAGAGUUUUGGGUAGGCGGGCGAUCAGGUUGGGCUGAAGCUGGGGGGUGACUCCCAGUGGACCGGCUUGAUUUGCAGAUCUCGGCGGUAGUAGGAGCAUAGUGAGGUGAGAAUCCUCAUCGCCGAAAGCCCAAGGGUUCCUUGGCACUGUUCGUCAGCCAAGGGUUAGUCGGUCCUAAGGGUGAUCUUAAUACGAAUCACUCGAAAGGGAAACAGGUUCAUAUUCCUGUACCGCGCAUAUAGGUGUGGUGACACAAGCUUUGAGCAGACACUGGUGGGUAGGUGGCCUAGGAGCGUAUCCUAGUUAAAUCCCGAAUUCUGGGGAGAACCGUUAUGGUGAGAACCAGAAGAAUGGAUGAAUAGGCUGGCCAUCGGUUGCUGGCUGCCAUCAAUCCCAACAGUCCAUGAAAAUGCAAGAAGAACGAUUAUGCGCGACCGUACCCAGAACCGUGACAGGUGUGGCUAGCUGAGAAGGCUAAGGCGUGUUAGGAGAAAUCAGGUGAAGGAAUUCGGCAAAUUAGCCCCGUAUCUUGGGUAUAAGGGGUGCCUGGAAAGGUGUAUGCCUUCCCAGGUCGCAGUGACAAGGGGCACCCGACUGUUUAAUAAAUAGUUGGGAGCGGCGAACAAACCUACAAAUGAUCAGUUUUCUUUCAAAGGACUUUAAAUAUUCCAAUAACAUAAGAAUAAUGAAACAUGUAUGAAGCAACAAAACUAGAAAAGCUUGGCUAUCUGGCAGGAUUUCUAUAUGGUGAUGGAACAUGUUAUCAUAAUCCAGCUAAUAGAUCAUACUCUGUAUGGAUAGACCAAAUCGAAAGCAACACAUACUUACUAAAAUAUGCCAGAGGAUACCUAGGGCGGUUUAGUAAAGUACAUGAAUACCAAUACAAAAGUCCAGGUGGACUAAAAACAAGAAUAUUAGUGCAUAACAAAAAUUUGUUUAUACAAUUCAAAAAAUUAAGAGAAGAACCCAUCAAAUUCUUUAAUCGUUUGAGUAAAGAGGAAAAAAUAAACUUUAUUUCAGGAUUAUUAGAUGCUGAUGGGACAAUAACAGAUAGAAUUGUGAUAUACGCAUCAAAUGAAAAUCUGUUGAAGAGAUUUGAGCAAUUCUUGAAAAAUUAUGAAGUUGUUGGUAAUGUCUACAAAUUUGGAAGCAUAUCAGGGCUUCAGAUUUAUAGUAAAAAAAGCAUUAAUGCACUAAUAAAGCAAAAAAUGAUGAGUAUAAAGUUUAAAAAGAAGGUUUUGAAAGAAAAUUGAUCGUUUGGAGGCGCGUUCCCUCUAGUUAAAAAACAUAGCAAACUGCAAGGGUGAAAACCUGUGUACAGUUUGUGAAUCCUGGCCGGUGCUGGUGAUUGAAACCUGGGUACAACCAGGCUAAGACCCAGUAAACGCCGGAGCUAACUAUGAGCUUCUUAAGGUAGGCAAAUGCCUUGUCUGCUAAUUACAGACGUCCAUGAAGGGACCAACGAGGUGCCCACUGUCUCCACCUGAAUCCUACUGAACCCACAGUCCAGCGAACAGUCUGGAAUGCACCAUCGGGAAGAGAAGACCCUGUAGAGCUUUACUGCUGUCAGAGGCUGUUGUAUUGGUGUUCAUACAUAGAAUAGUCAGGAGGCGUCGAUCCUACAUUCUCCGGGAUGUAGGGGAGCCGAAAGUGAAAUACUGACUUUGAGCAUUGGUACGACUCACCUCUUGCGAGGGGGACACCCUCUGCCUGGCAGUUUCACUGGGGCGGUAGCCUCUUGAAAAGAUAUCAAGAGGGCCCAAAGCCAAGCUCAACCGGGACAGAAAUCCGGUGUAGAGUGCAAGGGCAAAAGCUUGGUUGACUGUGAACUGAUAGAGAAGGUUCGCAGAUGUUAACGCAGGGCCUAGCGAUCCUUCGCAUUGCCCAUAGUAGGCGGCGGAGGUGGCGGAAAAGUUACCUCAGGGGUAACUACACUUUGAUGGCACACUAUCAAAGUGGCUAGACAAAAGAAAGGAACUUUUCCUGCAAAGAAUUGCACAAACUUUAUCUUUUCAAGGGCACGAAAAAAUGAAACUGAUUUAAAGAAUAAAGCUAAGGUGGGUCAAAUUUUACCCGAAUGAAUAAUAUACCGCAAAAAAAAGUUAUCGAUUGAGGAUUACUUAAUUACAAGUUUUCGCCUAAUGGUCAAAAAAAAGGAAAACUUGAGCGGAUUAGAUAGAAACGGAUCCAACAUCUGCCUUAACCAUCAAGAAAAAAGACCCUUGGAAAAGAUGAAGAGCCAUUUUGAAAGUGUGAGGUCAAGAGGUUAUUAGAUCGGUAACUUGCCUUAAGCCGAGGCUGACAACUAAUCUAAUAGCCAAAGUCGAAAAAAAAGACUAGUGUAGCCCUGAACAGAGUUGUCGUGGGUAAGAGUUCACAUCGACCUCACGGCUUGCUACCUCGAUGUCGGCUCUUCCUAGCUUGGAGGUGAUUCAGCUUCCAAGAGUGGGGUUGUUCGCCCAUUAAAAGGGAACGUGAGCUGGGUUUAGACCGUUGUGAGACAGGUUGGAUUCUAUCUGAUGGUGCUGGCGGGAGAUUGAGAGUAAAAUUCGAUUAGUACGAGAGGAACAUCUAGUUGGGGCCUCUGGUGUAUCGGUUGUCCUCCAGGGCAUCGCCGAGUAGCUAAGCCCUUGACGAUAAGAGCGGAAAGCAUCUAUGCUCGAAGCGUCUCUCGAAACGAGUCUCCCAUUCUGUACCUCAUGGGGGCUGGUGACAGCAACCACUGGUAUAGACGAGAGCACGGAAAGAAGAUCCGGUAGAUAGAGCAGGGGUGUGCGCGUCGAGCUUCGGCGAGAUGUUUAGCCCACUGCUACUAAUCGCUCAAGCUUAGUUCGAC
rnacentral:rRNA from 1 species